UGGCAACAAUAAGAAGCUUCUAGUGUCUAAAUGAAUUCAGAAGAAUCAGAAAAGCAAGAUCAGUUAAAUGUGGUCAGGAAUUUAAAACAUACAUAAAACUAAAAUCUUUUUUUAUUUUCCUGUAAAAUAACUAAGUCCAGCAAAUUGAAGUAACUCUUGACCAAGAAAGAAGCUUAUUAUAUUUUCCUCUGAGGCAAUUACAGCCUUUCUGCUUCCAAAGGCUCAUACAGUCUGCCAGAAGAGAAUUGGACUUCAAUCCCCAGUGUUACAUAUUCAAAAUUAACACCCGCUCCCUGAAGUAGCAGAACCAACCUGAUGAAUACGAAGCUAAAGGCCAAGCAUCGAUAACAAGGAUCAUUCCAGUAGAGACCACCUGCCAAACUAAGACUGGACCAUUAACAACUACUUUUUGAAAUAGAUGUAAUAGCCACGAUGAGCAGCAUUAUUUUGACACCAAAAUGUUCUACUUUAUUCACCAAAUGCUAUUAAUAAUUAAACUGACACAUUCAAAAUAUCUGCAACUUCUAUUUUUAUAUUUGAACUUUGCUACCUACCCCUAUUGGAAAUUUAGGCUUAAAUAAAAGUCUACAAAAAGAACUUAUGGCAUG